rnacentral:rRNA from 1 species
GAUGGAGCACGCCGCGUGAGUGAAGAAGGAUUUCGGUUCGUAAAACUCUGUUGCAAGGGAAGAACAAGUAGCGUAGUAACUGGCGCUACCUUGACGGUACCUUGUUAGAAAGCCACGGCUAACUACGUGCCAGCAGCCGCGGUAAUACGUAGGUGGCAAGCGUUGUCCGGAAUUAUUGGGCGUAAAGCGCGCGCAGGUGGUUCCUUAAGUCUGAUGUGAAAGCCCCCGGCUCAACCGGGGAGGGUCAUUGGAAACUGGGGAACUUGAGUGCAGAAGAGGAUAGUGGAAUUCCAAGUGUAGCGGUGAAAUGCGUAGAGAUUUGGAGGAACACCAGUGGCGAAGGCGACUGUCUGGUCUGUAACUGACACUGAGGCGCGAAAGCGUGGGGAGCAAACAGGAUUAGAUACCCUGGUAGUCCACGCCGUAAACGAUGAGUGCUAAGUGUUGGGGGGUUUCCGCCCCUCAGUGCUGCAGCUAACGCAUUAAGCACUCCGCCUGGGGAGUACGGUCGCAAGACUGAAACUCAAAG